rfam:Daphnia pulex DAPPTscaffold_4663_Cont15942, whole genome shotgun sequence.
GCUUACGGCAAUCCUGCACUUGGGGGUCACGCACGGAGUACUUGCAUUGCUCACUGGAACCCUCGGGAAGGUCUGAGACGAGGCUUUUCUCAUUGUCGGAGAGUGAUGCUCUAGCCGGGCAGCCAUUUCGCGAAGGCGCAGGGGAAUAGAAAGAAUAUCGAUUGGAGUGUCGUUUAGACCCAUGAUGUCCAUUAGGACUAGGCGGAGAACUCCAUUUCGAUUGGAACUGCUUCUGUAGCUUGCUAUUUUGAGCAUAAUUUGCGGGUUGUGGUUUGCCCUUUUACCGGUUGACUGCAAAACUCAAUUCAGACUAAUCUGCCGAAAGC